rnacentral:rRNA from 1 species
GGCUCAGGAUGAACGCUGGCGGUAUGCUUAACACAUGCAAGUCGAACGAUGUUUUAGGACAUAGUGGCGGACGGGUGAGUAACGCGUAAGAAUCUGCCUUCAGGUUUGGGACAACCAUUGGAAACGGUGGCUAAUACCGAAUGUGCCGAGAGGUGAAAGGCUUGCUGCCUGAAGAAGAGCUUGCGUCUGAUUAGCUAGUAGGUGGGGUAAGAGCUUACCUAGGCGACGAUCAGUAGCUGGUCUGAGAGGAUGAUCAGCCACACUGGGACUGAGACACGGCCCAGACUCCUACGGGAGGCAGCAGUGGGGAAUUUUCCGCAAUGGGCGAAAGCCUGACGGAGCAAUACCGCGUGAGGGAGGAAGGCUCUUGGGUUGUAAACCUCUUUUCUCAAGGAAGAAAAAAAUGACGGUACUUGAGGAAUAAGCAUCGGCUAACUCCGUGCCAGCAGCCGCGGUAAUACGGAGGAUGCAAGCGUUAUCCGGAAUGAUUGGGCGUAAAGGGUCCGCAGGUGGUAGUGUAAGUCUGCUGUUAAAGAGUCACGCUCAACGUGAUAAAAGCAGUGGAAACUACACAACUAGAGUACGGUAGGGGCAGAAGGAAUUCCUGGUGUAGCGGUGAAAUGCGUAGAUAUCAGGAAGAACACCGGUGGCGAAAGCGUUGUGCUAGACCUGUACUGACACUGAGGGACGAAAGCUAGGGGAGCGAAUGGGAUUAGAUACCCCAGUAGUCCUAGCCGUAAACGAUGGAUACUAGGUGUGGCUUGUAUCGACCCGAGCCGUACCGUAGCUAACGCGUUAAGUAUCCCGCCUGGGGAG